AGCAGCCGCGGUAAUUCCAGCUCCAAUAGCGUAUAUUAAAGUUGUUGCAGUUAAAAAGCUCGUAGUUGAACUUCGGGGUUUACCCAUUGGUCAGGCUUAAUUGUCUGCACUGGUGAGAUGAAUCUCUACCUUCUGAGGAACUUUCAUGCCAUUUAUUUGGUGUGAUUGGAAAUCAGGACUGUUACUUUAGAAAAAAUUAGAGUGUUUAAAGCAGGCUAACGUCUGAAUACAUUAGCAUGGAAUAAUGAAAUAGGACGGAUUGAUUCUAUUUCGUUGGUUUCUAGGAUCACCGUAAUGAUUAAUAGGGAUAGUUGGGGGCAUUAGUAUUCAAUUGUCAGAGGUGAAAUUCUUGGAUUUAUUGAAGACUAACUACUGCGAAAGCAUUCGCCAAGGAUGUUUUCAUUAAUCAAGAACGAAAGUUAGGGGAUCGAAGACGAUCAGAUACCGUCGUAGUCUUAACCAUAAACUAUGCCGACUAGGGAUCGGACGAAGUUAAUUUUAUAAUGACGCGUUCGGA
rnacentral:rRNA from 1 species